UCUUCGGGACCUGGCACCUGCUGCCUCCUAGGCCUUGCCCUCCUCCACCUCUGGGUUGCUCCUCACGGUUCUGGGAUCACCACUGCAGCCCCUGCCUUGACCUCGCUUGACCUUCCCUCCUCCUGGGACCCCACCCUGCUCCCACGGUGAGUCUCCUUCUCCUUCAGGUCUCUACCCAGGCGGCAGCUUUCAAAAGGAGGGCGUUUCUGACCCCACAAAUAAAAGAGCGCACCUUCCCACUCUCUUGGCCAGACUUUCUUACACCACCUGGUAUCUAUUUGCUACUUCCUGUUUCCACCCCAUCUAUUCCUGCAUCCCCCGUACCUGAUCGCUUCACUCCCAUCCCCAGGUAGUCAUGUAUUCCUGAAUCCCCAGCACCUAGAACAAGAUCCCGGCAGGUGUCUGGGACUCCGGACAGUGAGAGGAGCCGUGUGCAAGCUCCUUGACCACGUGGGCGUAUCCAAGAGGCUGGGUGGGCGUGGGGGGAUCAGCUUGAUCUACCAUAGGAGCAGAAGAGGUCUGGAGUGAAGGAGGAUGGGCUUGUGAUGAAGACAGUAAUGGGAGACGAGGGGAGCCUCCUGAUGUGAACCACAGAGAAGACUGAUGCAGAGAAUGGCAGCCGCUUUGAGCCAAAUGUGGCAGCCUCCCUGGAACGGUGAAAAAGUCCGAGAGGCCGAGUAAGAGACAAGGUGCGAUCACAGGCUGUCCAGAGGGCAGAAUUAGCUGAGCCACGGCAGAGGUGUAUUCAAAUGAACAGGAUAACAUGGCAUUUCCUGAUAGAGUCAAAGCUGCUGCGGGGAAACAAGAUGGAUUUCAGCGUCAGAGAAAGCCAUCUUUGCUGUUGCUGAGAAUCAGUGGCAAAGUGGAUAUGGCUCCCCUGCCUGUCAUCUCUGCACUGGAUGUGAACUUUCCAUCGGGCAGAGGUUUCGUGUUGAGAAUUUAACAGCGCCGGUGGCCCUGAGUAGUGAGCUGAGCAACAUGGCCAAGAGGAUCAGAAAAGGCUACCGCCAUAGUCCUCAGCUCAUCGUCUGUCGGCUUAGAAGCAGCCCGGUUAUGAGGAACCCAGAUCAGGCAAUGUAAUUUUGAGAACUUUGUAGAACAAACUCCUAAUCCAAGCUGGCCUUAGUGGAAAAUGCCUGAGAUGCCGAGACAGGGGAGCACUGUAAGUUCCAUGUCAGUCUGUACUGUAUAAUGAGUUCCAGAUCAGCCUGGACCCCAGAGUGAGAUGCUGUCACAGUAACUACAACCACCAAUGAACAACCCUCUAACCCAAACAAAAACUCAACAAAUCACCUAAAACUCAGAGUCCUAUUCUAAUCGUUUUCUGUAGGGAUUAAUGCCCAUAAGCAGGAAAGUUGCCAGCACCAUGCCAAAAAAUAAUAGUAGUUUUGACUACAAAAUGUCCACAUAAUUUUCCUCUUGAAAUUUGAGAUUUAGGAAGUAAAGGUAUCCUGCUGAGCAAGGCAGCUAAUCAAUUUUAUUGUGGCCCUCCAGUGCUUAUGUGGGAGCUUACA